AAACUUGCCCCGAGAUGAGUUCUCCCUGAGACUUUAGGUCUCCUGAAGGAACGUUGAAGACGACGACGUUGAUAGGCCGGGUGUGUAAGCGCAGCGAUGCGUUGAGCUAACCGGUACUAAUGAACCGUGAGGCUUAACCUUACAACGCCGAAG
rnacentral:rRNA from 1 species